CCUACGGGACGCAGCAGUGGGGAAUAUUGCACAAUGGGGGAAACCCUGAUGCAGCGACGCCGCGUGAGUGAAGAAGUAUUUCGGUAUGUAAAGCUCUAUCAGCAGGAACGAGACAAGACGGUACCUGACUAAGAAGCCCCGGCUAACUACGUGCCAGCAGCCGCGGUAAUACGGAGGAUGCGAGCGUUAUCCGGAUUUAUUGGGUUUAAAGGGUGCGCAGGCGGAGGUGCAAGUCAGCGGUCAAAUUGCGGGGCUCAACCCCGUACUGCCGUUGAAACUGCAUCCCUUGAGUGCGCGAGAAGUAG
rnacentral:rRNA from 1 species